rnacentral:rRNA from 1 species
CGGGUGGCUGCAGUGAGGAAUAUUGGUCAAUGGGCGCGAGCCCGAACCAGCCAAGUAGCGUGAAGGAUGACUGCCCUACGGGUUGUAAACUUCUUUUAUAAAGGAAUAAAGUGAGGCACGUGUGCCUUUUUGUAUGUACUUUAUGAAUAAGGAUCGGCUAACUCCGUGCCAGCAGCCGCGGUAAUACGGAGGAUCCGAGCGUUAUCCGGAUUUAUUGGGUUUAAAGGGAGCGUAGAUGGGUUGUUAAGUCAGUUGUGAAAGUUUGCGGCUCAACCGUAAAAUUGCAAUUGAUACUGGCAGUCUUGAGUACAGUUGAGGUAGGCGGAAUUCGUGGUGUAGCGGUGAAAUGCUUAGAUAUCACGAAGAACUCCGAUUGCGAAGGCAGCUUACUAAACUGCCACUGACAUUGAUGCUCGAAAGUGUGGGUAUCAAACAGGAUUAGAUACCCCGGUAGUC